rnacentral:rRNA from 1 species
UAGUGUAAUCACUUGUCUUUUAUAUAAAGACUGGAAUGMAUGGCUAAACUAGUGCUUUAUCUGUCUCUUACGGGUAAAUCAGUGAAAUUGAUCUCCUCGUGCAAAAGCGAGAAUAAUAACAUAAGACGAGAAGACCCUGUGGAACUUCAAAUAUCAGCUAAAGACCAAUAAACCAACAAACCAAUAGAACCACCAACCACAAUCCCUACUUAGCCUUAUUUUCGGUUGGGGUGACCUCGGGGAAUAACAAAACCCCCGAAAACAUACACCAAGAAUAACAAGCCAAAGUAGCCUACGGCUUUAACRGAUCCAAUACAUUUGAUUAAUGAACCAAGCUACCCCAGGGAUAACAGCGCAAUCCCCUCUUAGAGUCCCUAUCAACGACGGGGGUUUACGACCUCGAUGUUGGAUCAGGACAUCCUAAUGGUG